AGAUUGCUCCCCUCUUGGGAAGGAAGUAGAGCUGUUUUGUUUCUAUUCACGUGUUAUGUAUUACCUCUCUCACUAUCUCAUUAACCAGUGUUGUCACCACCACACCCAACUCUGUGUACUAAAAUUUGUUGUUCAGAAAUUAAAAAAAAAAAAACUUAAGACAUGAAACCUGAGAGCCCAGUUUACAUUUUUCUUUUAUUUAUUUAUUUACUUAGAGACCAAGUCUCUCUCUGUCACCCAAGCUGGAGUGCAGUGGUGCAAUCGCAGCUCACUGCAACCUCUGCCUAUUCUCAUGCCUCAGCCUCCUGAGUAGCUGGGAUUACAGGCGAGCCAACACACCUGACUAAUUUUUGUAUUUUUGGUGGAGAUGGGAUUUCACUAUGUUGGCCAGGCUGGUCUCCAACUCCUGGCCUCAAGUGAUCUGCCCACCUCGGCCUCCCAAAGUGCUCAGCUUACAGGCAUGAGCCACCAUGCCCAGCCUUAUUUUUAUUUUAUAUAUAUAUUUUUAGCCGGGACUACAGGCACACACCACCAUGCCUGGCUAAUUUUUUUUUUUUUUUUGAGACAGGGUCUUACUCUGUCACCCAGGCUGGAGUGCAGUGGUAUGAUCACAGCUCACUACAGCCUCGACCUCCCAGGCUCAGCCAUUCUCCCCACCUCAGCCUUCCAAGUAGCUGGGACUACAGGCACGUACCACCACACGUGACUAAUUUUUAUAUUUUUUGUAGGUACGGGGGUUUUGCCAUGUUACCUAGGCUGAUCUCAAACUCCUAGGCUCAAACAAUCCUCCCACCUUGGCCUCUCAAAGUGCUGGGACUACAAGUGUGAAUCACUAUGCCUGGCCAACACUUGGCUUAUUUUUUAAAAAUUUUAGAGAUAGAGUCUCACUGCGUUUUCCAGGCUGAUCUUCAACUCCUGGACUCAAGCAGUCCUCCUGCUUCAGCCUCCCUAAGUAGUUGGGACUACAAGUGCGAGCUACCGCACCUAGUUCAAUUUAGAUUUUUCUAUCAUUAUGCCAUAUUACCUAAGAUACUGCAAGUCUGGGGCUGGUCUGAGUGCAGUGGUGUUUACAACUAGUUGAUCACAACCAAUUACAGAUUUCUUUGUUCCAUCUCUAAUCCCAUUGCUUCACUUAACUAACCUUAAAAAAUAAAUACAUAAAAAGAUACUCCAAGUCUGUACAGAAUGUGUACUGUGGCUCUUCCUAGACAGGGCAUCCAGCUCUGUGCCCUAUUUGGAAACCAGGGCUUCCAUCUGGCUCCAGAUGCCUGAUAUGACAGAGCUGAAGAUAGCUACUAUAAAAUAUGUUCAACAGUAAUUUUAUUUUAAAACCAUUUCUGGAGACUUUUUACUGGUCUUUAAAGAACCCUUUAUUUCCUUAGACAGAUUAGGAUAUUCAUUACCCUAUGCAUCUUUGUGAUCUUUUGGAUUGUUAGAGGUAAGCCUUGCUGGUGAUAAUGUCUUCUGUUUUACAUUAGAGUUUUGUCCCCCUCAUUCUAGAUUAUAAACUUCCUGGAAGCGCCAGGCGCAGUGGCUCACGCCUGUAAUCCUAGCACUUUGGGAGGUCGAGGUGGGCGGAUUGCCUGAGUUCAGGAGUUUGAGAACAGCCUGGGCAACACGGUGAAACCCCAUCUCUACUAAAAAUACAAAAAAUUAGCUGGGUGUGGCGGCGUGCGCCUGUAGUCCCAGCUACUUGGGAGGCUGAGGCAGGAGAAAUGCUUGAACCUGGGAGGCAGAGGUUGCAGUGAGCUGAGAUCGUGCCACUGCACUCCACCCUGGACGACAGAGCUAGACUCCGUCUCCAAAAAAAAUAAAUAAAUAAAAAAUAAACUUCCUGGAAGCAAUGACAUGUUUAUUCAACCCCACUCCCCCAACCCCUAAACAAACACACAAGUAGAAUAUAGCUUUGAAUAGUAGCUCCUUGCAGAUUGAAUGAGAAACUACUAGAGUUUGCGUUAUCUGUUAUUUUAAUUUCUUAGUAGUGUCCAAGAUAUCACACUCUCCUAGACUGGGAGCCAAAGAGCUAUAAAAAAUUGGUAGCAAAGUCACCAACUUGCUAGGAAUCAUAAAUUACCCCUUACUCUGAAAGGUUGAAGGAAAUUUGAGUUAUAAAAGACAAUAUGGUUACUCCAGCACCAUCUAGAGGAAAGUCUAGAAAGGUUUAAAAUGGUAUUUUACAAGUUCACUAUAUCAGUUUAUUUAUCUAUUUAUUUAGAGACAGAGUCUCACUCUGCCGCCCAGGCUGGAGUGCAGUGGUGUGAUCUGGGCUCACUGCAACCUCUGCCUCCUGGGUUCAAGCGAUUCUCCUGCUUCAGCCUCCUGAGUAGCUGGGAUUACAGUGCGUCACCAUGCCCGGCUAAUUUUUGUAUUUU
rnacentral:lncRNA from 10 species